CACAAUAGAAUAGGGAUUCUCAAGGGUGGUUAGCUCGUCCUCAGAAGAAAGGAGGGGGAGUGCUCGUGACGGUCUUUGAAGCGUUGAUGUUAGCAUGUACUGUUGCAGGCUUAAUCAUAGGAAUGCUGUCAUUUGACCAUAAAAAAUAACCCACCCUUGAGCCUGCAAGCAUAAAGGGUGAGUUAGGUUCGUUUUGAAUAAAUUAUAGCGAUCGCCCUAGCAGGGAACCGUCUAUUGUAUCGACCGCUUGGUGUUCCAGCACCAGCG
rnacentral:sRNA from 1 species